rnacentral:rRNA from 1 species
AUUGAACGCUGGCGGCAUGCCUUACACAUGCAAGUCGAACGGCAGCGGGGACUUCGGUCCGCCGGCGAGUGGCGAACGGGUGAGUAAUGUAUCGGAACGUACCUUUCAGUGGGGGAUAACGUAGCGAAAGUUACGCUAAUACCGCAUAUUCUGUGAGCAGGAAAGCAGGGGAUCGCAAGACCUUGCGCUGAUUGAGCGGCCGAUAUCAGAUUAGCUAGUUGGUGGGGUAAAGGCCUACCAAGGCUACGAUCUGUAGCGGGUCUGAGAGGAUGAUCCGCCACACUGGGACUGAGACACGGCCCAGACUCCUACGGGAGGAAGCAGUGGGGAAUUUUGGACAAUGGGGGCAACCCUGAUCCAGCCAUGCCGCGUGAGUGAAGAAGGCCUUCGGGUUGUAAAGCUCUUUCGGCCGGGAAGAAAUCGCACAGGCUAAUACCUUGUGUGGAUGACGGUACCGGAAUAAGAAGCACCGGCUAACUACGUGCCAGCCGCCGCGGUAACAC